AAAAAAUUAUUAUCAUAUCAUCAUCCUUUACUUAUUUCGUUAAAAAAUGAUUUGAAAAAAAUAAUCCAUGCAUAUGUACAAAGUGCAGACUGAAAAUGUUGAAAGCUAGACAGAGAAAUCCGAAUCUCUCUUUUUCCUUUACAGAGAUUCAUGACAGAUUAUCAGAAUUACAAAGAGCUAGUCUCAGAGAAGGAGGUAGUCUCUCACAACGUGGUGAACCGAGGUUUAAAUCUCCUUUGAGAGAGGUAACCACAUAUGGUGCCAGGCAAUGGCUUGAAGAAGAUAAAGAGCGGGUUUUUGAUAACCAAGAUGCAUUUUGUCAUGUGGAAAGAGCUAACCUCCUACGAUGUAGCGAAUCAAGAAUUGAAUUCUUGCGGGAAAAUAUGUCUACUUUUAGUAUUCGACAAUAUGUUGAACAUGAUUGCUUUCGUAGAAAGAUACUUGUGGAAAACCAAAACGAAAAGGGGGUGGUUUAUUGUUGUGGAUUUGGGUUGAAUUGGGUUACUUUGUGUUCUGUUUUAUCUGCUUGUUCUCAGUCAGGCGAUGAGAGUGUGGGAAGGUGGAUUCAUUGUUAUGCUGUUAAGGCUAUGGGGUGGAAUGUGGGAGGGUAAGUGUUGGAAGUCCCACGUCGACUAGAGAUAAGGCCAAUUUAUAAUAUAUAAGUGAGGUGCAAACCUCACUUUACAAACCGGUUUUGUAGGGUUGAGUUAGGCUUAAAACCCACUUCUAAUAUGGUAUCAGAGCCAUGGUUAAAGCCAUGUCACCAAGGAAUUGCAUGGAGGCAUUGGAAGAGGUAGAACAAGUGUUGUUCAUAUUGUAGUUAGUUUUCUGUUAUGGGUUUGUUAAACCCAUUUGUUUUCAUCCCCGUUCCCCUUUCCUAACCUUUAAAAGGUUAGGAUUUCCCCUCUGUAGUUCAUAUCUCAGAACAUACAAUUCACACAUUACUUUAUAAUAUCAUCAUAUAUGAAAAAUUGUUUUUCUUACCUCUUUGUGUUCGUCUUGCUUCGAUCUUCAUCUUUCUCUCUUUCACUAUCUGCAACGGUUGCCUUCCAAUGCCUCUACGAUGGUUUCUCUCUCUUCAGUGAAGAAGAAGAAGACGCUCUGCUUCUCUCUCUGUCCAGUAGAUGUUUCUGACACAGUUGCUACAUCAAAGAGAUAUUUCUCGUUCUCUGUCAUGGACUGAGGGGCUUUGGGCCUUUCUUUUAUUUUGGGCCUCAUUACAAUAUGGUAUCAGAAGUACACUCUGUUUCUUGAAGCUGUUCUUGGCAUCUUGAUCCUCUCUUGCCAUGACGGAAACUACAUUCGAUCCCACCACCAAUCCCUCCAGCCCCUACUAUCUUCAUCCUGGGGAAAAUCCAGGCAUUGCUCUCAUUUCCCAGGUCCUUACCGAAACCAACUACUCAUCAUGGAGCAGAAAUCUGAAANGAGCUUUACUCUCAAAGAACAAGGUAAAGUUCAUUGAUGGCAGCAUCANAAAACCUGCCAGAACUGACAAAUUAUUUGAAGCAUGGGAACGAUGUGAUANUAUGGUGCUCUCCUGGAUCAUCAAGACCCUCUCAACUCAGAUUGCUGACAGCGUUCUUUAUGUUGACACUGCCAAGGAUCUUUGGGAUGACCUUAAAGACAGGUUUUCNAAGGGAGACUACUUCAAAAUUUCCGACUUACUUCAAGAUUUACACUCUAUCAAGCAAGGAGAAAGAAACAUCAGUCAAUACUUCACUGACUUAAAAAUCCUCUGGGAGGAAUUAGAAUCUUUGAGGCCUAUACCCUACUGCACCUGCCCAAACCCAUGCACUUGUGAUCUAUCUAAAGUUUCCCUCCAAUACAGAGAAGCUGAACACGUUAUCUGCUUCCUCAAAGGUCUUAAUGAUANCUAUCAAACUGUCAGGACUCAAAUNCUUCUAAUGGAGCCCCUUCCCAACAUCAACAAGGUUUUUUCUCUCCUAAUGCAGCAAGAAAGGCAGCAUCAGGACAGGGGAGGCCAAAAUGAUUCUUUCAGAAUUCUUGCCAACACUUCUGACAAGCCUAAUUGGAAAGGUCAAGGCCGUGGCACUCCUUCCCGUGGCCAAGGAAGAGGAAGGGGGAGAAAUCCCACUUAUGGGAAGCAAUGUUCCCAUUGCCACAAGAUGAACCACACAAUUGACGAAUGUUACAGCAAACAUGGCUUUCCACCAUGGUACAAGAAGAAUGAUAAUCAAAACAGUCAACACAAUCAAGACAGGGGAGGCCAAAAUGAAUGGAGAUAUGCUAAUGCUUGUAAAGAAGACUCUACAUCUACCCAGAAUCAAACCAUUCAGCAAGAAAAUCACAACAAUCCUAUGCAGGUUUUUACUCCUGAACAGAUGCAAAAACUGUUUAAAAUCAUAGAGAGUACCCAGACACAAAAUACCCACAGCAUUAGUCAAAUACAGAGAAACAUUCCUGAAGAUAAUCAAGGUAAUUUCUCCUGGAUUAUUGAUACUGGGGCCACAGAUCAUGUGACCCAUGAAAGAAAAUAUUUCAUUACUUUUCAAAAAAUUAGACCCAUAACUGUUAAACUCCCAAAUAACACUGUGGUUACAGCCCAACACGCUGGAACUAUCCAAUUUUUUGAAAAUUUUAUCAUUUUUAAUGUUCUUUACAUUCCUAAAUUUUCUUUUAAUCUGAUAUCUGUUCAAAGCUUGACAAGGGACUUAAAUUGUACCCUAACCUUUUCUUCUAAGACUUGCCAGAUUCAGGAUAGUUCCACCUUGAAGAUGAUUGGGCAUGCUAAAGUUUUCAAGGGCCUUUACUAUCUUCAGUCAUUUCCUGUUUUUACACAACAUUAUGUUCCUAAAGUUGUUCUUUCCUGUAAACAUGUUAGUGAUGACCUAUGGCACUAUAGACUAGGACAUCCAGGACACAAAAUCAUAGAACAAGUUUGUAAAAGUUUUCCCUAUGUUCAAAUGCCAUCUAAAAUUGUUUGUGAUAUUUGUCAUUAUGCUAAACAACAUAAACUGCCCUUUUCUCAGAGUACUACUGUUUCCACUAAUUGUUUUGAUCUAGUACAUUGUGAUAUAUGGGGACCCAUUUCCAUAUCCUCUAUUCAUGGACAUAAAUACUUUCUUACCAUAGUAGAUGAUUAUAGUAGACACACCUGGAUUUUUUUGAUGCAAAAUAAAGGACAAACUAGAGAACUUUUGCAGAAUUUUAUCCUAAAAAUCAAAAAUCAGUUUGGAAAAAUCAUUAAGAUUCUUAGAUCUGAUAAUGGUCCNGAAUUUAAUUGUACUANUAUGUAUAAUUCCUAUGGUAUUGAACAUCAAAGAAGCUGUGUGGAAACACCUCAACAAAAUUCUGUUGUUGAACGUAAACAUCAAGAUAUACUAAAUAAAACCCGAAGUCUCAUUUUUCAAUCUGGAAUUCCUACUGCUUAUUGGUGUUAUGCUGUUUCUCAUGCUAUAUAUUUGAUAAAUAGGCUUCCUACUUUUGUUCUUAAUGGUAGGACUCCUUAUGAAUUGAUGCAUAACACUUCUCCCACUUAUUUGAAUUUAAAAACUUUUGGCUGUCUUUGCUUUGCUUCUACUUUGGAACAUAAUAGACACAAGCUUGAUUCUAGAGCUAGGAAAGGUGUUUUCUUAGGAUACAAAAAUGGGAUUAAAGGAUAUGUUGUUCUUGAUAUAAAUACUAGAGAAAUUUUCCUAAGCAGAAAUGUUAUAUUCUAUGAGAAUGUUUUCCCCUAUAAAGAUCAACANAAUAAUGAGCAGAAUUGCAUUGACCAAGAAAUUGAAAAUGUUUUUCCUAAUAAUUUCUGGUAUGGUACUAAUUGUAAUGAAAAUCAAGAUUUUCUUGAGAAUAUAGACACUGAACAGCAACCAGAUUUUCUUGAGAACAAUGAACAGGAACCUGGUAGCAGAGAAAACACUGGCACAAAUGUUGGCAAUGAUCAUAUUGAUAUUGAUAACAAUUCUAGAAGACCCACUAGAACUAAAAGAGUCCCUAGAUAUCUUAAUGAUUAUAUUCAUCAGGUUAAUCACUCUUUAUAUGAUUCUCUAUGUACCAAAAACAAUUACAAAACCCCAUAUCCCAUUUCCAGCGUUUUGUGUUAUGAUUCCUUAUCUGAAAAACAUCUAAAGUACACCCUAGCUGUUUCUGCCGACAAAGAACCUAAAUCUUAUAAUGAAGCCAAAGAACAUCAUGAGUGGGUUACAGCUAUGCAAAAGGAACUCAAAGCUUUGCAGGAUAAUGGAACUUGGAUCUUAACUCAACUCCCUCCUGGAAAAAAUUCCAUUGGGUGCAGGUGGGUUUACAAAAUAAAACAUAAAGCUGAUGGAAGCAUAGAAAGGUAUAAAGCUCGUCUAGUUGCCAAAGGAUAUACUCAACAAGAAGGUAUAGACUUCUUAGACACUUUCUCACCUGUUGCUAAGCUAACCACUGUCAGAAUAAUUUUGGCCAUUGCUGCCGCAAAGAAUUGGCAUCUACAUCAGCUUGAUGUAGAUAAUGCCUUCCUUCAUGGAGAUUUAAAUGAAGAGGUGUACAUGGAGAUACCACCAGGGCUGGAUAUUCAGGAAAAAGGACAAGUUUGCAGGUUAACCAAGUCUCUAUAUGGGCUCAAGCAAGCUAGCAGACAAUGGUUUGAUAAGCUUUCUUCCUUUUUACUGUCUAAUAAUUACACUCAAUCAAAAUCAGAUCACUCUCUUUUUAUUAAAAGGACUUCUACUACUUUUACAGUCCUCCUUGUGUAUGUAGAUGAUAUCAUUUUGGCAGGAAAUUCUAUUAAAGAAAUUGACCACAUAAAGGCUCUUCUCCAUCAUGCUUUUCGAAUCAAAAACCUAGGAGAGCUAAAGUAUUUUUUAGGUUUUGAAGUUGCUAGAUCAAAAAAAGGAAUACACCUAUGCCAAAGGAAAUAUGCUUUAGAUAUUCUUGAAGANACAGGAAUGUUGGGUUCUAAGCCUUGCNCUACUCCCUUUCUAAGUGACACAAGUUCAUUAUACAAGGACGAAAAUCACCUGACAAAUCCUAACUCCUAUCGCAGGCUAAUAGGGAAGCUUCUUUACCUUACCAAUACUAGACCUGAUCUAUGUUUUUCUGUUAAUCUUCUCAGUCAAUUUGUUAAUUCACCUACUGAUUAUCACCAUCGGGCUUUGCANCACAUGCUUAGAUACAUUAAAGCUAGUCCUUCGCAAGGCCUUUUCUUUGCUGNUGAAACCAAUAUCCNGAUCAAAGCUUUCAGUGACUCUGAUUGGGCAACUUGUCCUAAAACGAGAAGAUCUACCACAGGAUUUUGUGUCUUCCUUGGAUCCUCUCUGGUGUCAUGGAAAACAAAAAAACAAAGUACUGUUUCCAGGUCGUCCACCGAAGCGGAGUAUCGAGCACUGGCUGCAACAGCUUGCGAGAUUCAAUGGAUCUCUUAGAUCCUACAAGAUCUCAAUAUUGAGACCACUGCUACUGCUGCCCUCUACUGUGACAAUAAGUCUGCCAGACAUAUUGCUCACAACCAAAGUUACCAUGAAAGAACUAAACAUAUUGAACUCGACUGUCACGUCAUCCGUGAAAAGAUUCAAGCUAAUCUUCUUCGUCUCCUUCCGAUUCACUCCAACGAGCAGCUUGCCGACAUAUUCACAAAGCUUCCUCACCGUGUGCGUUUCCAGUUUAUUGUUCCCAAGCUUGGAUUGGUAAACAUACACAAUCCAGCUUAAGGGGAGCAUAUUGCAGUUAGUUUUCUGUUAUGGGUUUGUUAAACCCAUUUGUUUUCAUCCCCAUUCCCCUUUCCUAACCUUUAAAAGGUUAGGAUUUCCCCUCUGUAGUUCAUAUCUCAGAACAUACAGUUCACACAUUACUUUGUAAUAUCAUCAUAUAUGAAAAAUUGUUUUUUUUACCUCUUUGUGUUUGUCUUGCUUCGAUCUUCAUCUUUCUCUCUUUCACUAUCUGCAACGGUUGCCUUCCAAUGCCUCUACGAUGGUUUCUCUCUCUUCAGUGAAGAAGAAGAAGACGCUCUGCUUCUCUCUCUGUCCAGUAGAUGUUUUUGACACAGUUGCUACAUCAAAGAAAUAUUUCUCGUUCUCUGUCAUGGACUGAGGGGCUUUGGGCCUUUCUUUUAUUUUGGGCCUCAUUACAAUAGUUCACUCAUAGUGAGAAGCUUGCACUUUGUUUUGGCCUAACGACCACACCACUCGGUUCUCCCCUCUGUAUUUUCAAGAACCUGAGGAUAUGCCAGGACUGUCAUUCUGCUAUUAAGAUUGCUUCUCAUGUAUAUAAACGUGAAAUUGUUGUUCGAGAUCGUUAUCGUUUUCAUAGUUUCAAGCAAGGCUCUUGUUCUUGCUCUCACUAUUGGUGAAUUACACUUUUAACUUCAAGCCACCAUUUGGAUCAGGAAAUUUAAGUCUUAUCGAUCAGGACUAAGAAUGACAGUUUCUCGACAAUGUUUUCUAUAAUUUUAUCAAUGUUUUAUAAUUUUCUAUUUCUUUCUUUCUUUGUAUAAAAUACUUUUAUUGAAUAUUUUUUUAUCAAUACAAAAUAGUUCAACAAACUUAUAGUUUUUAGAAAAUAUUAAAACAAAACAGGUUGGAUGGUAAGAAACAGAUUCGAAAUCAUACAUCAAAUCCAUUUUCAAAUCUAAUCUCUCAAAAUUAACUUUGUGAAUUUAAAGAAACUGUUAAACAUACUUUCAACAGGGGAUGUAGCUCAAAUGGUAGAGCGCUCGCUUUGCAUGCGAGAGGCACGGGGUUCGAUCCCCCGCAUCUCCAUUUUUUGUAAUUACUUUUAUAUUUAUAUUUUUAAUUUUCUGGUGGAAAUUAUUUUUCUUUUUUUUUUGGUUAAAAUGAAUUUUGUAAGAAGGAAUUAUUAUGUGCUAUAUAAAAACAUUAUUAAAAUAUGGAAAGCGAGUAGAUAUUGAUUUUGACUUGAAAGGAAAGAGCAUAAUGUUUACGUUGUUGUAGUUUGUACUUUUGGUGUUUAUAUUAUUCUAAUCAAGACCAUCAAAAGCGUGGAAAAUUUGACAAAUGUAUACCAUAUUUUUGUACAAUGUUUUUCUAAACACAUGAUUUAUUUUAAAGCUUCAAUUUCGCUUAAUUAACAUGCAGCUAUCAGCAGUUGGUAUAUAAUACAUAUGUUGAAACACUUAUACUAAAUAUAAAUAAGAAAUAAUACAAUCAAUUUAUUCAUAAUCUAAAAUUAGUUUUUAUAAGUUAAAAUUUAGAUUUCCGGAAAACUAUUCAAAAAUAAUUUCUACACCAUUAAAAUAUCUUUCAAAUUAAAAUAUUGGUAUUAAUGUUUCUUCUCGUUAUUUAUAAUUGAUUAUUCUCGUUAAAGUUAUAAUUAAAAUUUCUUGAUUGAAAGUCUAUGUUAAUUUCUUUUUUCAUUAUUAAGAGUUUAUUUAAUUAUGCAAAAGAUUAAAGUGGUGUCAUAAAGAUGUUUGCAUGACUCUGUCUUAAAAAAAAUGUCCUAUAUUUUAACUUUCUUUAAUUACUUCAAGGAAGAGACUACAAAUUAGUUCAACUAAAUGUCUAUCAAUAUAUAAUUUUAUAAUAUUGAUUGUAAUAGAAGAGGUUAUUAAUUAAGUUAACAAAAUGUGUAGAAGUGUAUUAGAUUAGAGGUUAUUAAUAAGUUUAAAAUGUGUAGAAGUGUAUUAGACUAGAGAUUAUUGAUUAAGUUGAAAAAAAUGUGUAUAAGUGUAUUAGAUUUUGGAGUAUGAUUUUUGUGUUUGGAUAUUAGUAUGUCACUUGAUGAUCUAUUUGAAUGCAUAUUAAAUGAGUUAAAUAUAUUUUUAACUUUUAAUUUUGUAUAUGAAAUUUGAAUUAGUUUCUAUUCUAAAUUAUUUCAAAUUUUGAUAUAUUUAGUUAUUUAAUUUUGAUAUUUUAGUUUCUAAACUUUAAAAUGAAUGUUUUAUGACAUUAUCUUUUCUUUACAUCUUAAGUGAUGUUAUAGACUAAUAUAAAUAGUUUCAUUUAUUAGAUACAUAAAAGGCAUAAAAAGUUCCAACGUCAACACAACUGAGUUAAAAGGAAUAUAUCUAUUUAUUUUUAAAGUUUGAUAUCAAAAUUUAAAACAAAAAUAAAUUAUAAUUUUGCUUCAAAGUUUAGGAACUAAAAACAUAUUUAAUUCGUUCUUCAAAACACGUAUAAUUUAUAUCAGGAUUGAAUAAAAGCUUAAAACUGCUUUGUUUUUUUUUUUUUUGCAAAGAAUAAUAAAUCACAUACUAAAAGAAGCAUAAUAUAGAAAACAACACAACAUGUUUAUAUUGGUUUAUCCACUAUUUUAGAUGAACUUUAGAUCACUUUAAUAGGACAUUAAAAUAUUUCACUAAUAGAAUACAAAAUGUUUCAAUAAGCACACAAAUUACUCCUAAUUAUAUUUUUUAAUUCCCCUUAGACUAAAAACUAAACAAGUAUUCUUUUGUCUUCACUUUUACUACAAAUUGGUAAAAGGUGUUAUAAUAAGGUUACUCUAGUGAGGAGUAUAAAGUUUAUCACUAACAAUUACAAAUUACAAAAUACAAAAUAAUACAAAGAAGUGUGUAUUAAUUUCUUCUAAUGACUUCAUCUUUGUAUGUAUAUGGAUACUCUUAUAUGAUUGAUGUGUGAAGAAUCUUGUCUUUAAUUUGUUCUUUUGUGUUUCUAAUGAAGGUACAUAGGCUACUACCACAAAAAAAUUGUCCUUGGAUUAUUAUGAUAUUUUACUUUAAUCACGUGUGAUCUCAGAUGUACCACAAUAAUUCAUUUUCUUGUGGGAACAUGUGAUAUAUUAACACUUUUAAAAUAAAAUAAUUAUUUCAAAAUUUAAUUGGUAUUUUGAUCUUAUGAGAUUUAUUUAAUAUGAUUUUUUACUUUUUUUAAUUUAUUAAAAUUGAUUCAAUGCUCUUGUAAGUUGGUGUUAACAUGUUUUUGAAAGUAAUAUUAGUUUUAUCCUAUUGACCUUAUUAUUCUUUAAAACUAAAACAAUAAUUUCAUGAAAUUUAUCAAUGUUUGAUUUCUGAAUCGAAAGACCUUCUUAUUAAUUUAAAAAGUUAAUAACCCUUUUUAUUAAUUUAAAAAGUUAACAUAACAAAGAGAUACAAUUUUAAUGACUAAAUUAAUAAUUUAUUUGUCAAAAUAUUAAGAUGUAAUAAAACCUGAAUGCUUUUAAAAAUAUAAAGCACCCAAAAUAUAUUUGGACAAAUCCAUGUUGGACCCAAUUAACACCCUAAAAAGUAUUGUAGAAAGAGAUUAUUAAUAAAAGAAGAAUUAAUUUCUAAAAGAAAAAUAAUUUGGUUGUAACAUAUUCACAAUAUCCAACAAUAAUUUGUAAUUGAAAGCAUAUAUUACUCUUGUUCAUAAAGAAAUAUCUACCACAAAAUACUUCACUGAUAAUAUAAUAAAUGCUAAAAUGUUCCAACCAACUCUCAAGCUAUAACAUUCAAAUAUUAAUUUAUUUAUUUAUCAUGUUAAGUAAGUUGGUCUUUGACUUUUAAUUAUUAUAUUUUUAAUAAUAUUUGAUAAAAUAGAUAACCAUUUUUAUUGUAGUGUUAUAAAAUAAUAAAUCGAGUAAAUAUACUUUAAUUAUACUAAACAUAAAAUAAAUCAAAAGAAUAAAAUAUUCUUAAAUUAGUCAAUUACCUAAUUGAUGAAAUUGAUUUACAAAAUUUAUCUUCACCAAAUAUAAUUCAGAUUGAACUGAUUUAUCUGUAGUUCAAUCCGUAAUGAAUCUAUUAACUCAUUUUCAUACUCUUUAAUUUAAGCAGUCAAUAUAUAUAUAAAACAAUUUAAUUAUAGAAACAAAUUUCUUUACUUUGAAAUUGUUUAAAAGAUAAUAGAUACUAUAUUGAUUGCGUUUUAAUUCUGUUUAACUGUUACAGUGAGUGAGUGACCGAUUGGGAAGUUUUUUUUCAUACUUUGAUCAUUCGAUUCAACAUAUAUUCAUUUCUAAUCUGUCGGAUUUAUAGUAACAAUUAGCAAAAGAUUAAAGUUUCAUCAUUUUAAAAGCUAGAAAAUAAAAGGUGUAAUUGAAGUUCUAUACGGGAUAUAAAAUUGCGUGUUCAAACGAACAAAAGAAUUUAAGCCAGAAUUAAAAUUAGGUUAAAUACCUUUUUUAUCUCAGUUCUGGUUAGGAAUAUUUAAACUGGUCCCCAUUCUAUUUUUAUGUUCAAUAUAGUCCUAAAGAUCAUAAUUAUGUUCAAUUUAGUCCUUUUUAUGUUCAAUGUAGUCCUAAAGAAUGUAAUUUGUGUUCAAUUGAGUCGUUGUUUGUGGUUUACGGAGUUUGUAAAAAAGACUAAAUUGAAUACAAAUUACGUUCUUUAGGACUACAUUGAACAGAAAAAUGACUAAAUUUGAACAUAAUUACGUUUUUUAGAACUAUAUUGAACAGAAAAAUAAAAUGAGGACCAUUUCGAAUAUUCUUAACCAAAACUAGGACAAAAAAGGAUUUUACCUUAAAAUUAAUACCAAAUAAAAAGAUGUUAGGAAGAAAAGAAAAAAAAAAACAAAAAGGUAUUGCGAUUGUGAUUUGUUAAAACCACACGCAAUAGACACGUCUUGUUUGGAACAUUUGGUAUACAUCAAUGUUCUUUGUUUAUCAUCCAACGACUAUAUGACAAAUAUCUAUACAAAAUCAACUUAUCCAAUAUCUUGCUUGUCAAACUGUAUUAAGUAAGAAAAAACAGAGUUUAAUCAAUUAUCUAUAUUCAUUUAAUUAUAAAUAUUUUUUAUUUAAUUUUUAAAAUUAUUAUUAUAAAAUUUAAUACAUAUAAUUUAUGAUAAAUGAUAAUACCAAAUUAUUUUAUAUUUUUAGUAUAUGUCAAUUUCUUUUUUUAAAAGUACCUACCAAAAUAUAUUGCUUGUAUGCUUGAACUUGAGGGAAACAAAAACAAAAGGACUAUCACUUAAUAAGUAUUUCAUUUCAUUUGAACUCUUAAGUUGUUCUAACAAAAAAAUCGUAUUUUUAUUUGUUAAAAUAAGAAAUGAGAAAAGAAAUUCAAUUUAAUAGAGUAAUUUGAGUUUUUUUUUUUUAUUAUUACCUUCUUAAUCUUAAAAAAAUUGACAAGACCAAUUUAUUUUACAAUUAUUACUAAAAGGUAAUAUGUAUGGAAAAUGUUUUUUUAACAAUUGUUUCUUAUAACUACAUAAUUCGUAAUUAGUCACAUUUACACACCAAUAAAAUAAUCACACAUCAUUUAUUAUCAAUAAAUUAUUAAAAAAAAUUUAACAUAUCAUCUUCCUUUUACUUUUUUUUUCAUUGAAAAAAUGAUUUGAAAAAAAUAAUCCAUGCAUAUGUACAAAGUGCAGACUGAAAAUGUUGAAAGCUAGACAGAGAAAUCUGAAUCUCUCUUUUUCCUUUACAGAGAUUCAUGACAGUUUAUCAGAAUUACAAAGAUACUAAGUUUAUACAGAAAUCUUCUUGCUCUUGUUUAUCUUGAACUUGUUAUAAUCUUGCAGUAAUCUAACAUGGAAUUCCUUCUUCAUUGCAUCCCACACUGUUU
rnacentral:lncRNA from 1 species